rnacentral:rRNA from 1 species
UAAUACGGAGGGUGCAAGCGUUAUCCGGAAUCAUUGGGUUUAAAGGGUCCGCAGGCGGAAAAAUAAGUCAGUGGUGAAAUCUCACAGCUCAACUGUGAAACUGCCAUUGAUACUGUUUUUCUUGAAUUCGAUCGAAGUGGGCGGAAUGUGACAUGUAGCGGUGAAAUGCUUAGAUAUGUCACAGAACACCGAUAGCGAAGGCAGCUCACUAGGUCUGGAUUGACGCUCAGGGACGAAAGCGUGGGGAGCAAACAGGAUUAGAUACCCUGGUAGUCCACGCCGUAAACUAUCAAUACUCGUUCUCGGGGUCGUAAGACUUCGGGGACUAAGCGAAAGUGAUAAGUAUUGCACCUGGGGAGUACGAUCGCAAGGUUG